rnacentral:misc_RNA from 1 species
AAGUCGUAACAAGGUUUCCGUAGGUGAACCUGCGGAAGGAUCAUUAACGCAUUCUUUUUGCUUAAUUGCAUCUAACCUUUUCUAUCAACCCCUUUAGCGAACUGAAAAAGGAGAGGUUAAGAAACUCUUUCGGGAGGAUUUUAACUGAUCUUUUUUCUUUAUACCCCCUUUUUUUUUUAACUAUAAACCCCUUUACUUUAUAUUUUUAGUCUGAUCUAAACCUAGAUUUUUAUCUAACGCUGAAACAACUCUUAGCAACGGAUAUCUAGGCUCUC